CGGAUGCUCAACCGACUGAGUCACCCAGGUGCCUGUUUGGGGUUUUUUUUGUUGGUUAUUCUUUAUCGUGGAAUAAUAUAUUCAUGUAAACAAUGAAAUGGAUGCCAAAAUUAUUUGGCAGGAAACGCAAGAAACAAUAGGCAAGUGACAAUUUUUUGUAAAGAGGAAUUCAUCAGGAUUAUCUAAGACACAAUUGUGACAGACCCACAGUUCCCAAGCACCAUGAACCAUGUUCCAUUGGAGGAAUGGUGACUAGCUGGCAUCAUUAUUCCCAGCGUGGAAAUAGAACAAACAACAGUCAGGUACUUACAGGAUUAAUGCUACGCAGUAUAAUACAGCUCACUUCAUUUUAUCUACAUUAAAUGGUGCACAAUUUACUAGGUUUUCUUAUACUUUUUUUUUUCCCUUAGCCUUUGUAGAAACCACUUCAGAUGGACUCAUUGACCGGUGAUCAUAAAUCAGCCCUUUAUUGGUGAAGAGGCCCUCUUUGCUGGAAAACGUAUGAAGCUAUCCUUCCUGUAAGAAGAGGAGUCUCCAUAGGGAAUGGCGAAGGCUAAACGUGGAAAUGCAAAGAUGUUAAUGGAAUCAAAAUGACUUUCUGAUUUCAAGUCUGACUACAAAACCAGACCAAUCACGAAGGCGUAGUAUUGUCACUGGGAUAGACAAAUAAACCAAUAGAAUAGGAUGGAGAGUUCCAGAAAUGAAUCCAAAUGUAUACGUCAUAAGAAGAAGAAGAAGAUUUUCCAAAGUCUAUUCAAAUGUUAAACCAGCACAGUAAAUUAGGGCAACAAACUAAAUUAUCUUGGAGCAAGAGACUUUAUAUUUAAUUCUACUUCAAGUUUUGACCUCGAGAGAAAUCAUGCACUCCAGUUUCCUCAAGGAUAUGGUUGUAAGUAUUUUGGCAGUUACACGUCAGGAUAUUUUUGGGUUUAAUAACGGUCAACCUCAGUACAAGGAGAAUGCCACGUGAAAAAUCGAUUUUUACAGUGGAUUGCAGGAUGCUGUAUCUCACCUGUGACCUAUGCCAUUUCUUUGUGCAUUCGGACACAAAACUUAACAAUCUAGUCCACACAGAGUGGCCGUUAACGCCCUGACUUUUGGGAAAGGUGGAAAGAUGUUAGCCUCAUAUUGCCUUAUUUUUUCUUGUGGUGAAGGGUGGAGUGAUGUGAGAAUAUGUGAUGUUUUUUUUCCGAGGUUUCUGGCAACUGUCACACCUCUAACCAUGAUCUCAACUGGAGGACCCGAGCCAAUGAUUUCCCCAUUGGUUUUUUUUUUUCUCCCCCCUCAAAUAUAUGGGCUUGUAGCAGAGCUUAAAUCAUGGCUUGGUAAUGUAUUGAAAGCCGUGACUUGAAUAGCUCUGAAAUGCUCUGGUUUUGCUAAAAGGAUAAUGAAAUAAAUGCAUAGCUACAGAUUCUUCAAAACAGAUGUCGGUGGAGGGCUUUCCUCAUUGCACAACUCCAGGCAAAAAAUGUACAUAGCUUACUAUCAGACAGAUGACCCUGAGUUUACAGCCAUUCAGCUUUCAAUGGCUUGAGAAAAAAUGGCACACGUAUCCGAUUUCUGUGCAAUCUUUUAGGUUCAUUCCUAACUUUUCUCCAGGAGGAAAAUUAUUUGCUAGUUAUUCAAGAGAACAUUACAUAAGCUUUCCGAUUUUAUGCAUCUUUAUACUUGACAUUUGUAGUAAAAUGAUUUGGUAGAAUGAUUUCUUCACACGUUUUGAACACGCACAAAUAAGUUACUAUUCAGAAACUUGAAAAUACUCAAAAUCCUGCAAAAGAAAUUAUAGAAAUAAAUGUCCAUUUGUACCAGUUACUGCGGUGACCUUUUCCUAUAGUUUUCCAAAUAACAAGUGACUUAACUUAUGUUUUCCAACAACAAAGACAAAAUAAAAAACUCCAGUUGAGCAAAGAGCUAUGCGACAGGGCCCAAAUGUCCUUCCAUACACUCCAACCCUGCCUGCUCCUGCCUCAGACCAUGUGUAUCCAGGUGGCCCUCCUGGUGGUGGAGUGCCUUGAUCUCAACAAAAGUCACAAUGGAAGAAUUUUAAUUCUUUUGUCAUUUAAUUCUUUUGCCAUAAUUGACAUUCGUCUUUGUAGCUAAUGCUUCAUCAUGUUUUUAAUUAUUUCCUUGGGUUAAGCAAAGAAAUGCUUGUUAGUAGAGGUAGAAUUGCUGUAUUUAAGGACUUUAUAAUUUUUUUAUGAUAUUACCUUUAUUUUGACUAAUUUCCCAUCAUAAAGUUAUAAUUUAUACCUUGUUGAUGCUCAGUGAGAAAUCUCUAACUCUGACCAGCACUGGGCUUUGUC